UCCUACGGGGCGCAGCAGUGAGGAAUAUUGGUCAAUGGCCGAGAGGCUGAACCAGCCAAGUCGCGUGAGGGAAGACGGCCCUACGGGUUGUAAACCUCUUUUGUCGGGGAGCAAAGCGAACCACGUGUGGUUCAUUGAGAGUACCCGAAGAAAAAGCAUCGGCUAACUCCGUGCCAGCAGCCGCGGUAAUACGUAGGGGGCAAGCGUUAUCCGGAUUUACUGGGUGUAAAGGGAGCGCAGGCGGCGUGGCAAGUCAGAUGUGAAAACCCGGGGCCCAACCCCGGGAGUGCAUUUGAAACUGCCAU
rnacentral:rRNA from 1 species